UGAAUUGAAUGGGAGCUAAUGUUCUUUCC
rnacentral:piRNA from 1 species